GAGAAAUACAAAGGGUUAGACUGGGGAGGAGGAGAGCUCUUGUGGACUUAAAGUGAGAUGAAGCAAAUGUAAUUAGCCAACCAGAUUCAGUUAAUUAAGUUCAUCAAAUUAAGCUUUCAACGACAGUUUCAUAUUCAGGCCUGGGCUGCACUUAAAUCCAGACUCAGGUCUGGGCUGCACUUUAAUCCAGACUCAGGUCUGGGCUGCACUUGAAUCCAGACUCAGUCCUGGGCUGCACUUAAAUCCAGACUCAGGUCUGGGCUGCACUUAAAUCCAGACUCAGGUCUGGGCUGCACUUAAAUCCAGACUCAGGUCUGGGCUGCACUUAAAUCCAGACUCAGGUCUGGGCUGCACUUAAAUCCAGACUCAGGUCUGGGCUGCACUUAAAUCCAGACUCAGGUCUGGGCUGCACUUAAAUCCAGACUCAGGUCUGGGCUGCACUUAAAUCCAGACUCAGGUCUGGGCUGCACUUAAAUCCAGAAAUGUGGUUGAAUGAACAUUGUUUACAUAUAUUUGUAGACUAAAUGUCCAUAAAUAACUAUGUAUUUACAUGGAAAUGACCCUGGUUAUUUACUUUUUAAAAUUCUUGGACUCAAUAAACUAGGACUGUUAACUUGGUUUUUAAACCUGUUUUUAAGAGGCUUAUAUAUGGAUUUACUUUCCAUGAAACCGGCCAGUGUUUAAGCACUACUAAAACAGAGCUUUGUAUCUUCUCUAUGUU